rnacentral:rRNA from 1 species
CAGCCGCCGCGGUAAUACGGAGGGUGCAAGCGUUAUCCGGAUUCACUGGGUUUAAAGGGUGCGUAGGCGGGUUAGUAAGUCAGUGGUGAAAUCCCGGAGCUCAACUUGGGAACUGCCAUUGAUACUAUCUGUCUUGAAUAUUGUGGGGGUAAGCGGAAUAUGUCAUGUAACGGUGAAAUGCUUGAAUCUGACAUAGGACCACCCAUUGCGAAGGCAGCUUGCUAAUAUGGAUCUGAGCUGAGGGAUGAAAGCGUGGGGAGCGAUCCGAUUAGAUACCCUGGUAGUCCACGCCCUAACUAUGAAUACUCGAUGUUGCGAUACACUGUUGGUGUCUAAGCUAAAGCAUUAAGUAUCCCACCUGGGAAGUACGUUCGCCAGAAUGAAACUCAAAGGAAUUGGCGGGUUGAGCGGGG